rnacentral:rRNA from 1 species
CACUGCGGUCUACCACCGGGAGUUCAUAA